UACAGAGGUCCCAAGCGUUGUUCGGAUUCACUGGGCGUAAAGGGUGCGUAGGCGGUCGGGUAAGUCUGAUGUGAAAUCUCACAGCUUAACUGUGAAACUGCAUUGGAUACUAUUUGGCUUGAGAGUUGGGGAGGGGACUGGAAUUCUUGGUGUAGCAGUGAAAUGCGUAGAUAUCAAGAGGAACACCAGUGGCGAAGGCGAGUCCCUGGACAACUUCUGACGCUGAGGCACGAAAGCGUGGGGAGCAAACAGG
rnacentral:rRNA from 1 species